CUCGGCAACGGAUAUCUCGGCUCUCGCAUCGAUGAAGAACGUAGCGAAAUGCGAUACUUGGUGUGAAUUGCAGAAUCCCGUGAACCAUCGAGUCUUUGAACGCAAGUUGCGCCCAAAGCCAUUUGGCCGAGGGCACGUCUGCCUGGGUGUCACGC
rnacentral:rRNA from 1 species